UACGGGGGGAGCAAGCGUUGUUCGGAUUUACUGGGCGUAAAGGGCGCGUAGGCGGCGUGACAAGUCACUUGUGAAAUCUCCGGGCUUAACUCGGAACGGUCAAGUGAUACUGUCGUGCUAGAGUACAGAAGGGGCAACUGGAAUUCCUGGUGUAGCAGUGAAAUGCGUAGAUAUCGUAAGGAAGACCAGUGGCGAAGGCGGGUCUCUGGACAGUUCCUGACGCUGAGGCACGAAGGCCAGGGGAGCAAACGGGG
rnacentral:rRNA from 1 species